ensembl:lncRNA
GGAGCUAUGGGGGCGGGGUAGGCAGUGCAAGCGAGCCGACCACGGUAACGGUGGUUCGGAUGAACCGACACGGUCACCGCCCUUCACAACCACAGCCGCUAAUGAAAAGAACAGAACUCCAUCGUUUACUCGCGUUUCAACCGGUCUCUUCAUUCAUCCAUGCCUUCCCCCAGACCACGGGGAUCCACUCAUCUGUAUGACUCACGCCCGGUGGCUCGAGGCAGGGCCAGAAGAUCCCCCACAGAGGACAGAGGCAACGCUCACAGGCAAACACACUAACAAGAUGAUUCUCACAGAUGUCGCCAGUUCCCUCAUCAGGGCCUGACUUUGAUGAUCCUCUUUGAAGAGCCAACAGGAAGGCGGUCAGGGAGAGGGGAACACAGUAGUAGUGUGGGAAAGGAGCGCUAAAACCUGGUAGCCCCGGAGACAACGUUAUACCUCCUGAAAUACAGCGCUGCAGCCCCC